UACGGAGGAUCCAAGCGUUAUCCGGAAUCAUUGGGCGUAAAGGGCGCGUAGGUGGCUUCUUAAGCGUGCGGUGAAAGCCUGGGGCUCAACCCCGGGUCGGCCGUGCGAACUGGGGGGCUGGAGCACUGUAGAGGCUCAUGGAAUUCCGGGUGUAGCGGUGGAAUGCGUAGAGAUCCGGAAGAACACCGGUGGCGAAGGCGGUGAGCUGGGCAGUAGCUGACACUGAGGCGCGACAGCGUGGGGAGCAAACAGG
rnacentral:rRNA from 1 species